AGAGGGAGCAAGCGUUAUUCGGAAUUAUUGGGCGUAAAGGGCGCGUAGGCGGGUUAUCAAGUCAGGGGUGAAAUCUUUCGGCUCAACCGGAAAACGGCCCCUGAUACUGGUAGUCUUGAGGGAGGUAGGGGCAGGUGGAACUUCCGGUGGAGCGGUGAAAUGUGUUGAUAUCGGAAGGAACGCCGGUGGCGAAAGCGACCUGCUGGAUCUCUUCUGACGCUGAGGCGCGAAAGCUAGGGGAGCGAACGGGAUUAGAUACCCCGGUAGUCCUAGCCCUAAACGAUGGGUACUAGAUUGUGGACUUAACAUGGGUUCACAGUCGAAGCAAAAGUGGUAAGUACCCCGCCUGGGGAGUAUGGUCGCAAGGCU
rnacentral:rRNA from 1 species